AUGAGAAGGAUGGAUGACGUUUUGUCAUAGCAAACAUUGCAUUUUCUCCUGCUAAAUCAAAACAGUUAACAUAUGCAGGUUUGUUUUGGUUCCUUCUUCAUGCUUCGUGAAGCUCAGGGUGAAUAAAAUAUUCAGCUGUUCUGGCACCCAAACAUUUCAAACAAUAUCUAUAUGUUCAAAAAGUCUUAUUUUUCAGAGGAACCU
rnacentral:lncRNA from 1 species